GUGGGGAAUCUUGCGCAAUGGGCGAAAGCCUGACGCAGCCAUGCCGCGUGAAUGAUGAAGGUCUUAGGAUUGCAAAAUUCUUUCACCGGGGACGAUAAUGACGGUACCCGGAGAAGAAGCUCCGGCUAACUUCGUGCCAGCAGCCGCGGUAAUACGAAGGGGGCUAGCGUUGCUCGGAAUUACUGGGCGUAAAGGGCGCGUAGGCGGACAGCUUAGUCAGAGGUGAAAGCCCAGGGCUCAACCUUGGAAUUGCCUUUGAUACUGGCUGUCUUGAGUUUGGGAGAGGUGAGUGGAACUCCGAGUGUAGAGGUGAAAUUCGUAGAUAUUCGGAAGAACACCAGUGGCGAAGGCGACUCACUGGCCCAAUACUGACGCUGAGGCGCGAAAGCGUGGGGAGCAAACAGGAUUAGAAACCCGAGUAGUCC
rnacentral:rRNA from 1 species